rnacentral:lncRNA from 1 species
GUUAAACUUGAGAUUUGGGAUUUGGUUGAACUUGAGUUUGUGUUGUUUGUUGAACUUGAGUUUGUGUGUUUUUUGAACUUGAGGUUGUGAAAAUUUGUAAAGUUGAAAAUCAGGUGUUGGUUGAACUUGAGUUUGUGGCUUUUUUUUAAACUUGAGUUUGUGUCAUGUUUAAACUUCAGUUUUUGGUGUUUUCGAACUUAAGUCUGUCUUGUUUUAAACUUGAGCUUGUGGAAAUUGUUAAACUUGAGAAUUGGGUAUUGGCUGAACUUGAAUUUUUGGUGUUUGAACUUGAGUUUGUUGUGUGUUUGAACUUGAGGUUGUGGUAAUUGUUAAACUUGAGAUUUGGGAUUUGGUUGAACUUGAGUUUGUGUUUUUGUUGAACUUGAGUUCGUGUUGUUUGUUGAACUUGAGUUUGUGUGUUUUUUGAACUUGUGGUUGUGAAAAUGUAUAAACUUUAGAAUCAGGCGUUGGUUGAACUUGAGUUUGUGGUUUUUGUUGAGAGUUUGUGUCGCGUUUGAACUUGAGUAUGUGGUGUUUUUGAACUUGAGUCUGUGUUGUUUUUGAACUUGAGGUUGUGGAAAUUGUUAAACUUUAGAAUUGGGUAUUGGUUGAACUUGAGUUUGUCGUGUCUUUGAACUUGAGUUUUUGGUGUUUUUGAGCUUGAGUUUGUGGCAAUUGUUUAACUUGAGAUUUGGGUGUUGGUUGAACUUGAUUUUGUGUCGUGUUUGAACUUGAGUUUGUAGUGUUUGGUGAACUUGAAUUUGCAUGUUUGGUGAACUUGAGUUCGUGCUGUUUGUUGAACUUGAGUAUCUGUUGUUUUUAACUUGAGGUUGUGGUAAUUGUUAAACUUGAGAUUUGGGUGUUGGUUGAACUUGAGUUUGUGUGUUUGUUGAACUUGAGUUUGUUUCCCGUUUGAACUUGAGUUUGUGGUGUUUUUGAACUUGAGUUUGUGUGUUUGUUGAACUUGAGUUUCUUUUGUGUUUGAACUUGAGUUUGUGGUGUUUUUAAACUUGAGUUUGUUUCGUGUUUGAACUUGAGUUUGUGGUGUUUUUAAACUUGAGUUUGUGUGUUUGUCCAACUUGAGUUUGUGUCGUGUUUGACCUUGAGUUUGUGGUUUGUUUGAACUUGAGUUUUGUGUUUGUUGAACUUGAGGUUGUGGUGUUUUUGAACUAGAGUCAGUGUUUUUUUUUACCUUGAGGUUUUGGAAAUUGUUAAACUUGAGAAUUGGGUAUUGGUUAAACCUGAGGUUUGCGUGUUUUUUAACUUGGGUUUGUGUCGUGUUUGAACUUGAGUUUGUGGUGUUUGGUGAACUUGAGUUUGCGUGUUUGGUGAACUUGAGUUCGUGUUGUUUGUUGAACUUGAGUUUCUGUUGUUUUUGAACUUAAGGUUGUGAAAAUUGUUAAACUUUAGAACUGGGUAUUGGUUGAACUUGAGUUUGUGUGUUUGUUGAACUUGAGUUUGUGUAGUGUUUGAUCUUGAGUUUGUCGUGUCUUUGAACUUGAUUUUUCUGUGUUUUUGAACUUGAGUUUGUGGCAAUUGUUAAACUUGAGAUUUGGGUGUUGGUUGAACUUGAGUUUGUGUCUUGUUUGAACUUGAGUUUGUAGUGUUUGGUGAACUUGAAUUUGCAUGUUUGGUGAACUUGAGUUCGUGUUGUUUGUUGAACUUGAAUUUCUGUUGUUUUUGAACUUGAGGUUGUGGAUAUUGUUAAACUUGAGAAUCAGGUGUUGGUUGAACUUGAGUUUGUGUGCUUUUUGAACUUGAGUUUGUGUCAUGUUUGAACUUGAGUUUGUGGUGUUUGUUGAACUUGAGUUUGUGUCGUGUUUUAACUUGAGUUUGUGGUGUUUUUGAACUUGAGGAUGUGAAAUAUCUUAAAAUUGAGAAUUGGGUGUUGGUUGAACUUGAGUUUGUGUUGUGCUUGAACUUGAGUUUGUGUUUUUUUUUAAUUUGAGUUUGUGUGUUGGUUGAACUUGAGUUUGUGUUGGUUGAACUUGAGUUUGUGUUGUGUUUGAACUUGAGUUUGUGUGUUUUUUUAACAUGAGGUUGUGAAAAUUUUUAAAUUUGUGAAUCAGGUGUUGGUUGAACUUGAGAUUGUGGGGUUUUUUUAAGUUGAGUUUGUGGUGUUUGGUGAACUUCAGUUUGCGUGUUGGGUGAACUUGAGUUUGUGUGUUGGUUGAACUUGAGAUUGUGUGUUGGUUAAACUUGAGUUUGUGUGUUGGUUGAACUUGAGUUCGUGUUGUUUGUUGAACUUGAGUUUGUGUUUUUUUAACAUGAGGUAGUGAAAAUUUUUAAACUUGUGAAUCAGGUGUUGGUUGAACUUGAGUUUGUGGGGUUUUUUGAAGUUGAGUUUGUGGUGUUUGGUGACCUUCAGUUUGCGUGUUGGGUGAACUUGAAUUCGGUGUUUUUGAACUUGAGUUUGUGUGUUGGUUGAACUUGAGUUUGUGUUGUGUUUGAACUUGAGUUCGUGUUGUUUUCUCAACUUGAGUAUGAGUGUUUUUUUAACAUGAGGUUGUGAAAAUUUUUAAACUUGUGUAUCAGGUGUUGGUUGAACUUGAGUUUGUGGGGUUUUUUGAACUUGAGUUUGUGUCGUGUUUGAACUUGAGUAUGUGGUGUUUUUGAACUUGAGUCUGUGGUGUUUUUGAACUUGAGGGUUUGGAAUAUGUUAAAAUGGAGAAUUGGGUGUUGGUUUAACUUGAGUUAGUGUCUUGUUUGAACUUGAGUUUGUGUUGUUUGUUGAACUUGAGUUUGUGUGUUUUUUGAACUUGAGGUUGUGUCGUGUUUGAGUAUGUGGUGUUUUUGAACUUGAGUUUGUUUUUUGUUUGAACUUGAGUUUUUCGUGUUUUUUAACUUGAGUUUGUGUCGUUUUUGAACUUGAGUAUGUGGUGUUUGGUGAACUUGAGUUUGCGCGUUUGGUGAACUUGAGUUGGUGUGUCUUUUGAACUUGAGUUUCUGUCGUUCUUGAACUUGGGGUUGUGGAAAUUGUUAAACUUGAGAAUCAGGUGUUGGUUUAACUUGAGUUUGUGUUUGUUGAACUUGAGUUUGUGUGUUGGUUGAACUUGAGUUUGUGUGUUGGUUGAACUUGAGUUUGUGUUGUGUUUGAACUUGAGUUCGUGUUUUUUGUUGAACUUGAGUUUGUGUGUUUUUUUAACAUGAGGUUGUGAAAAUUUUAAAACUUGUGAAUCAGGUGUUGGUUGAACUUGAGAUUGUGGGGUUUUUUGAAGUUGAGUUUGUGGUGUUUGGUGAACUUCAGUUUGCGUGUUGGGUGAACUUGAGUUUGUGUGUUGGUUGAACUUGAGUUUGUGUGUUGGUUAAACUUGAGUUUGUGUGUUGGUUGAACUUGAGUUUGUGUUGUGUUUGAACUUGAGUUCGUGUUGUUUGUUGAACUUGAGUUUGUGUGUUUUUUUAACAUGAGGUUGUGAAAACUUUUAAACUUUUGAAUCAGGUGUUGGUUGAACUUGAGUUUGUGGGGUUUUUUGAAGUUGAGUUUGUGGUGUUUGGUGACCUUCAGUUUGCGUGUUGGGUGAACUUGAAUUCGGUGUUUUUGAACUUGAGUUUAUGUGUUGGUUGAACUUGAGUUUGUGUUGUGUUUGAACUUGAGUUCGUGUUGUUUUUUGAACUUGAGUUUGUGUGUUUUUUUAACAUGAGGUUGUGAAAAUUUUUAAACUUGUAUUAGGUGUUGGUUGAACUUGAGUUUGUGGGGUUUUUUGAACUUGAGUUUGUGUCGUGUUUAAACUUGAGUAUGUGGUGUUUUUGAACUUGAGUCUGUGUUGUUUUUGAACUUGAAGUUGUGGAAAUUUUUAAACUUGAGAAUUGGGUAUUGGUUGAACUUGAGUUUUUGGUGUUUUUGAAUUUGAGUUUGUGUCGUGUUUGAACUUGAGUUUGUGGUGUUUGUUGAACUUGAGUUUGUGUCGUGUUUUAACUUGAGUUUGUGGUGUUUUUGAACUUGAGGAUGUGAAAUAUCUUAAAAUUGAGAAUUGGGUGUUGGUUGAACUUGAGUUUGUGUCGUGUUUGAACUUGAGUUUGUGUUGUUUGUUGAACUUGAGUUUGUGUGUUUUUUAACAGAAGGUUGUGAAAAUUUUUAAACUUGUGAAUCAGGUGUUGCUUGAACUUGAGAAUUGGGUGUUGGUUGAACUUGAGUUUGUGUUGUGUUUGAACUUGAGGUUGUGUCGUGUUUGAAAUUGAGUAUGUGGUGUUUUUGAACUUGAGUUUGUUUUUUUUUUAACUUGAGUUUUUGGUGUUUGUUGAACUUGAGGGUGUGAAAUAUCUUAAAAUUGAGAAUUGGGUGUUUGUUGAAUUUGAGUUUGUGUUUUUUGAACAUGAGGUUGUGAAAAUUUUUAAACCUGAGAAUCAGGUGUUGGUUGAACUUGAGUUUGAGGGUUUUUUUUAACUUGAGUUUGUGUUGUGUUUAAACUUGAGUAUGUGGUGUUUUUGAACCAGAGUUUGUGUGUUGGUUGAACUUGAGUUUGUGUUGUGUUUGAACUUGAGUUAGUGGUGUUUUUGAACCUGAGUUUGUUUUUUUUUUAACUUGAGUUUUUGGUGUUUGUUGAACUUGAGUUUGUGGUGUUCUUGAACUUGAGGGUGUGAAAUAUCUUAAAAUUGAGAAUUGGGUGUUGGUUGAACUUGAGUUUGUGUUGUGUUUGAACUUGAGUUCGUGUUGUUUGUUGAAUUUGAGUUUGUGUUUUUUGAACAUGAGGUUGUGAAAAUUUUUAAACCUGAGAAUCAGGUGUUGGUUGAACUUGAGUUUGAGGGUUUUUUUUAACUUGAGUUUGUGUUGUGUUUAAACUUGAGUAUGUGGUGUUUUUGAACCUGAGUUUGUGUUUUGGUUGAACUUGAGUUUGUGUGAUUGUUGAACUUGAGUUUGUGUUGUGUUUGAACUUGAGUUUGUGGUGUUUGUUGAACUUGAGUUUUUUGUCGUGUUUGAACUUGAGUUUGUGUGAUUGUUGAACUUGAGUUUGUGUUGUGUUUGAACUUGAGUUUGUGGUGUUUUUUGAACUUGAGGUUGUGUCGUGUUUGCAAUUGAGUUUGUGUUGUUUUUGAACUUGAGUUUGUGGUGUUUUUGAACUUGAGUUUGUGUGUUUGUUGAACUUGAGUUUGUGUUGUGUUUGAACUUGAGUUUGUGGUGUUUGUUGAACUUGAGUUUUUUGCCGUGUUUGCAAUUGAGUUUGUGUUGUUUUUGAACUUGAGUUUGUGGUGUUUUUGAACUUGAGUUUGUGUGUUUGUUGAACUUGAGUUUGUGUUGUAUUUGACCUUGAGUUUCGUGUUUGAACUUGAAUUUGGGAUUUUUGUUGAACUUGAGUUUGUGUCGUGUUUUAACUUGAGUUUGUGGGUUUUUUUAAGUUUAAGGUGUGGAAUUGAUUGAACUUGAGGUUGUGGCAAUUUUUAUACUUGAGUUUGUGUUUUUGUUGAACUUGAGUUUGUGUCCUUUUUGAACUUGAGUUUGUGUCAUGUUUGAACUUGAGUUUUUUUUUAUUUGAACUUAAGUUUGUGUUGUUUUUGAAUAUGAGUUUGUGGUGUUUUUAAACUUGAGUUUGUUUCGGUUUUGAACUUGAGUUUGUGGUGUUUUUAAACUUGAGUUUGUGUGUUUGUCCAACUUGAGUUUGUAUCGUGUUUGACCUUGAGUUUGUGGUUUGUUUGAACUUGAGUUUUGUGUUUGUUGAACUUGAGGUUGUGGUGUUUUUGAACUUGAGUCUGGGUUUUUUUUACCUUGAGGUUUUGGAAAUUGUUAAACUUGAGAAUUGGGUAUUGGUUAAACUUGAGGUUUUCGUGUUUUUUAACUUGAGUUUGUGUCGUGUUUGAACUUGAGUUUGUGGUGUUUGGUGAACUUGAGUUUGCGUGUUUGGUGAACUUGAGUUCGUGUUGUUUGUUGAACUUGAGUUUCUGUUUUUUUUUAACUUAAGGUUGUGAAAAUUGUUAAACUUUAGAACUGGGUAUUGGUUGAACUUGAGGUUUUCGUGUUUUUUAACUUGAGUUUGUGUCGUGUUUGAAGUUCAGUUUGUGGUGUUUGGUGAACUUGAGUUUGCGUUUUUGGUGAACUUGAGUUUGUGUUGUUUGUUGAACUUGAAUUUCUGUUGUUUUUGAACUUGAGGUUGUGGAAAUUGUUAAACUUGAGAAUCAGGUGUUGGUUGAACUUGAGUUUGUGUGUUUGUUGAACUUGAGUUUGUGGUGUUCUUGAACUUGAGGGUGUGAAAUAUCUUAAAAUUGAGAAUUGGGUGUUGGUUGAACUUGAGUUUGUGUUGUGUUUGAACUUGAGUUCGUGUUGUUUGUUGAAUUUGAGUUUGUGUUUUUUGAACAUGAGGUUGUGAAAAUUUUUAAACCUGAGAAUCAGGUGUUGGUUGAACUUGAGUUUGAGGGUUUUUUUUAACUUGAGUUUGUGUUGUGUUUAAACUUGAGUAUGUGGUGUUUUUGAACCUGAGUUUGUGUGUUGGUUGAACUUGAGUUUGUGUGAUUGUUGAACUUGAGUUUGUGUUGUGUUUGAACUUGAGUUUGUGGUGUUUGUUGAACUUGAGUUUUUUGUCGUGUUUGAACUUGAGUUUGUGUGAUUGUUGAACUUGAGUUUGUGUUGUGUUUGAACUUGAGUUUGUGGUGUUUGUUGAACUUGAGUUUUUUGUCGUGUUUGCAAUUGAGUUUGUGUUGUUUUUGAACUUGAGUUUGUGGUGUUUUUGAACUUGAGUUUGUGUGUUUGUUGAACUUGAGUUUGUGUUGUGUUUGAACUUGAGUUUGUGGUGUUUGUUGAACUUGAGUAUUUUGCCGUGUUUGCAAUUGAGUUUGUGUUGUUUUUGAACUUGAGUUUGUGGUGUUUUUGAACUUGAGUUUGUGUGUUUGUUGAACUUGAGUUUGUGUUGUAUUUGACCUUGAGUUUCGUGUUUGAACUUGAAUUUGGGAUUUUUGUUGAACUUGAGUUUGUGUCGUGUUUUAACUUGAGUUUGUGGGUUUUUUUAAGUUUAAGGUGUGGAAUUGAUUGAACUUGAGGUUGUGGCAAUUUUUAUACUUGAGUUUGUGUUUUUGUUGAACUUGAGUUUGUGUCCUUUUUGAACUUGAGUUUGUGUCAUGUUUGAACUUGAGUUUUUGUGUUAUUUGAACUUAAGUUUGUGUUGUUUUUGAAUAUGAGUUUGUGGUGUUUUUAAACUUGAGUUUGUUUCGGUUUUGAACUUGAGUUUGUGGUGUUUUUAAACUUGAGUUUGUGUGUUUGUCCAACUUGAGUUUGUAUCGUGUUUGACCUUGAGUUUGUGGUUUGUUUGAACUUGAGUUUUGUGUUUGUUGAACUUGAGGUUGUGGUGUUUUUGAACUUGAGUCUGGGUUUUUUUUACCUUGAGGUUUUGGAAAUUGUUAAACUUGAGAAUUGGGUAUUGGUUAAACUUGAGGUUUUCGUGUUUUUUAACUUGAGUUUGUGUCGUGUUUGAACUUGAGUUUGUGGUGUUUGGUGAACUUGAGUUUGCGUGUUUGGUGAACUUGAGUUCGUGUUGUUUGUUGAACUUGAGUUUCUGUUGUUUUUGAACUUAAGGUUGUGAAAAUUGUUAAACUUUAGAACUGGGUAUUGGUUGAACUUGAGGUUUUCGUGUUUUUUAACUUGAGUUUGUGUCGUGUUUGAAGUUCAGUUUGUGGUGUUUGGUGAACUUGAGUUUGCGUUUUUGGUGAACUUGAGUUUGUGUUGUUUGUUGAACUUGAAUUUCUGUUGUUUUUGAACUUGAGGUUGUGGAAAUUGUUAAACUUGAGAAUCAGGUGUUGGUUGAACUUGAGUUUGUGUGUUUGUUGAACUUGAGUUUGUGUCCCGUUUGAAUUUGAGUUUGUGGUGUUUUUGAACUUGAGUUUGUUUGUUUGUUUAACUUGAGUUUCUGUUGUGUUUGAACUUGAGUUUGUUUGUUUGUUUAACUUGAGUUUCUGUUGUGUUUGAACUUGAGUUUUUGGUGUUUGUUGAACUUGAGUUCGUGUUGUUUGUUGAACUUGAGUUUGUGUGUUUUUUGAACCUGUGGUUGUGAAAAUGUAUAAACUUUAGAAUCAGGUGUUGGUUGAACUUGAGUUUGUGGUUUUUGUUGAACUUGAGUUUGUGUCGUGUUUGAACUUGAGUUUGUGUCGUUUUUGAACUUCAGUCAGUGUUGUUUUUGAACUUGAGGUUGUGGAAAUUGUUAAACUUUAGAAUUGGGUAUUGGUUGAACUUGAGUUUGUGUGUUUGUUGAACUUGAGUUUGUGUAUUGUUUGAACUUGAGGUUUUGUCGUGUUUGAACUUGAGUUUGUGGUGUUUUUGAACUUGAGUUUUUGGUGUUUUUGAACUUAAGUUUGUGGCAAAUGUUAAACUUGAGAUUUGGGUGUUGGUUGAACUUGAGUUUGUGUCAUGUUUGAACUUGAGGUUGUGGAAAUUGUUAAACUUGAGAAUUGGGUAUUGGCUGAACUUGAGGUUGUGGAAAUUGUUAAACUUGAGUUUGUGGUUUUUGUCGAACUUGAGUUUUUGUCGUGUUUGAGCUUGAGUAGUUGGUGUUUUUGAACUUGAGUCUGUGUUGUUUGUUGAACUUGAGGUUGUGGCAAUUGUUAAAUUUGAGAUUUGGGUGUUGGUUGAACUUGAGUUUGUGUCGUGUUUGAACUUGAGUUUGUGUUGUUUGUUGAACUUGAGUUUGUGUGUUUUUUGAACUUGAGGUUGUGAAAAUUUGUAAAGUUGAAAAUCAGGUGUUGGUUGAACUUGAGUUUGUGGCUUUUUUUUAAACUUGAGUUUGUGUCAUGUUUAAACUUCAGUUUUUGGUGUUUUCGAACUUAAGUCUGUCUUGUUUUAAACUUGAGCUUGUGGAAAUUGUUAAACUUGAGAAUUGGGUAUUGGCUGAACUUGAAUUUUUGGUGUUUGAACUUGAGUUUGUUGUGUGUUUGAACUUGAGGUUGUGGUAAUUGUUAAACUUGAGAUUUGGGAUUUGGUUGAACUUGAGUUUGUGUUUUUGUUGAACUUGAGUUUGUGUGUUUUUUGAACUUGUGGUUGUGAAAAUGUAUAAACUUUAGAAUCAGGCGUUGGUUGAACUUGAGUUUGUGGUUUUUGUUGAGAGUUUGUGUCGCGUUUGAACUUGAGUAUGUGGUGUUUUUGAACUUGAGUCUGUGUUGUUUUUGAACUUGAGGUUGUGGAAAUUGUUAAACUUUAGAAUUGGGUAUUGGUUGAACUUGAGUUUGUCGUGUCUUUGAACUUGAGUUUUUGGUGUUUUUGAGCUUGAGUUUGUGGCAAUUGUUUAACUUGAGAUUUGGGUGUUGGUUGAACUUGAUUUUGUGUCGUGUUUGAACUUGAGUUUGUAGUGUUUGGUGAACUUGAAUUUGCAUGUUUGGUGAACUUGAGUUCGUGCUGUUUGUUGAACUUGAGUAUCUGUUGUUUUUAACUUGAGGUUGUGGUAAUUGUUAAACUUGAUAUUUGGGUGUUGGAUGAACUUGAGUUUGUGUGUUUGUUGAACUUGAGUUUGUUUCCCGUUUGAACUUGAGUUUGUGGUGUUUUUGAACUUGAGUUUGUGUGUUUGUUGAACUUGAGUUUCUUUUGUGUUUGAAUAUGAGUUUGUGGUGUUUUUAAACUUGAGUUUGUUUCGUGUUUGAACUUGAGUUUGUGGUGUUUUUAAACUUGAGUUUGUGUGUUUGUCCAACUUGAGUUUGUGUCGUGUUUGACCUUGAGUUUGUGGUUUGUUUGAACUUGAGUUUUGUGUUUGUUUAACUUGAGGUUGUGGUGUUUUUGAACUUGAGUCAGUGUUUUUUUUUACCUUGAGGUUUUGGAAAUUGUUAAACUUGAGAAUUGGGUAUUGGUUAAACCUGAGGUUUUCGUGUUUUUUAACUUGGGUUUGUGUCGUGUUUGAACUUGAGUUUGUGGUGUUUGGUGAACUUGAGUUUGCGUGUUUGGUGAACUUGAGUUCGUGUUGUUUGUUGAACUUGAGUUUCUGUUGUUUUUGAACUUAAGGUUGUGAAAAUUGUUAAACUUUAGAACUGGGUAUUGGUUGAACUUGAGUUUGUGUGUUUGUUGAACUUGAGUUUGUGUAGUGUUUGAUCUUGAGUUUGUCGUGUCUUUGAACUUGAGUUUUCUGUGUUUUUGAACUUGAGUUUGUGGCAAUUGUUAAACUUGAGAUUUGGGUGUUGGUUGAACUUGAGUUUGUGUCUUGUUUGAACUUGAGUUUGUAGUGUUUGGUGAACUUGAGUUCGUGUUGUUUGUUGAACUUGAAUUUCUGUUGUUUUUGAACUUGAGGUUGUGGAUUUUGUUAAACUUGAGAAUCAGGUGUUGGUUGAACUUGAGUUUGUGUGCUUUUUGAACUUGAGUUUUUGUCGUGUUUGAACUUGAGUUUGUGGUGUUUGUUGAACUUUAGUUUGUGUCGUGUUUUAACUUGAGUUUGUGGUGUUUUUGAACUUGAGGAUGUGAAAUAUCUUAAAAUUGAGAAUUGGGUGUUGGUUGAACUUGAGUUUGUGUUGUGUUUGAACUUGAGUUUGUGUUUUUUUUUUAACUUGAGUUUGUGUGUUGGUUGAACUUGAGUUUGUGUUGGUUGAACUUGAGUUUGUGUUGUGUUUGAACUUGAGUUUGUGUGUUUUUUUAACAUGAGGUUGUGAAAAUUUUUAAACUUGUGAAUCAGGUGUUGGUUGAACUUGAGAUUGUGGGUUUUUUUGAAGUUGAGUUUGUGGUGUUUGGUGAACUUCAGUUUGCGUGUUGGGUGAACUUGAGUUUUGUGUUGGUUGAACUUGAGUUUGUGUGUUGGUUAAACUUGAGUUUGUGUUGAACUUGAGUUUGUGUGUUUUUUAACAGAAGGUUGUGAAAAUUUUUAAACUUGUGAAUCAGGUGUUGCUUGAACUUGAGAAUUGGGUGUUGGUUGAACUUGAGUUUGUGUUGUAUUUGAACUAGAGGUUGUGUCGUGUUUGAAAUUGUGUAUGUGGUGUUUUUGAACUUGAGUUUGUUUUUUUUUUAACUUGAGUUUUUGGUGUUUGUUGAACUUGAGUUUGUGGUGUUCUUGAACUUGAGGGUGUGAAAUAUCUUAAAAUUGAGAAUUGGGUGUUUGUUGAAUUUGAGUUUGUGUUUUUUGAACAUGAGGUUGUGAAAAUUUUUAAACCUGAGAAUCAGGUGUUGGUUGAACUUGAGUUUGAGGGGUUUUUUUUAACUUGAGUUUGUGUUGUGUUUAAACUUGAGUAUGUGGUGUUUUUGAACCUGAGUUUGUGUGUUGGUUGAACUUGAGUUUAUGUUGUGUUUGAACUUGAGUUUGUGGUGUUUUUGAACUUGAGUUUGUUUUUUGUUUGAACUUGAGUUUUUGGCGUUUGUUGAACUUGAAUUUGUGUUGUGUUUGAACUUGAGUUAGUGGUGUUUUUGAACCUGAGUUUGUUUCGUGUUUGAACUUGAGUUCGUGGCGUUUGUUGAACUUGAGUUUGUGUCGUGUCUGAACAUGAGUUUGUGGUGUUUUUGAACUCGAGUUUGUGGUGUUUUUGAACUUGAGGGCUUGGAAUAUGUUAAAAUUGAGAAUUGGGUGUUGGUUGAACUUGAGUUUGUGUUGUGUUUGAACUUGAGUUUGUGUUGUUUGUUGAACUUGAGUCGGUGUGGUUUUUGAACUUGAGGUUGUGGAAAUUUUUAAACUUCAGAAUUGGGUAUUGGUUAAACUUGAGUUUUUGGUGUUUUUGAACUUGAGUUUGUGUCGUGUUUGAACUUGAGUUUUUGGUGUUUUUGAACUUGAGUUUGUGUCGUGUUUGAACUUGAGUUAUUGGUGUUUGGUGAACUUGAGUUUGCGUGUUGGUUGAACUUGAGUUUAUGUUGUGUUUGCACUUGAGUCCGUGUUCUUUGUUGAACUUGAGUUUGUGUGUUUAUUAACACGAGGUUGUGAAAAUUUUUAAACUUGUGAAUCAGGUGUUGGUUGAACUUGAGUUUGUGUGUUUUUUGAACUUGAGGUUGUGUCGUGUUUGAAAUUGAGUAUGUGGUGUUUUUGAACUUGAGUUUGUUUUUUUUUAACUUGAGUUUUUGGUGUUUGUUGAACUUGAGUUUGUGGUGUUCUUGAACUUGAGGGUGUGAAAUAUCUUAAAAUUGAGUAUUGGGUGUUGGUUGAACUUGAGUUUGUGGUGUUUGGUGAAAUUGAGUUUGAGUGUUUGGUGAACUUGAAUUUGUGUGUUUUUUGAACUUGAGUUUCUGUUGUUUUUGAACUUGGGGUUGUGGAUAUUGUUAAACUUGAGAAUCAGGUGUUGGUUGAACUUGAGUUUGUGUGUUUUUUGAACUUGAGUUUGUGUCGUGUUUUAACUUGAGUUUGUGGUGUUUUUGAACUUGAGGAUGUGAAAUAUCUUAAAAUUGAGAAUUGGGUGUUGGUUGAACUUGAGUUUGUGUCGUGUUUGAACUUGAGGUUGUGUCGUGUUUGAACUUGAGUUUGUGGUGUUUGUUGAACUUGAGUUUGUGUCGUGUUUUAACUUGAGUUUGUGGUGUUUUUGAACUUGAGGAUGUGAAAUAUCUUAAAAUUGAGAAUUGGGUGUUGGUUGAACUUGAGUUUGUGUCGUGUUUGAACUUGAGUUUGUGUUGUUUGUUGAACUUGAGUUUGUGUGUUUUUUAACAGAAGGUUGUGAAAAUUUUUAAACUUGUGAAUCAGGUGUUGCUUGAACUUGAGAAUUGGGUGUUGGUUGAACUUGAGUUUGUGUUGUGUUUGAACUUGAGGUUGUGUCGUGUUUGAAAUUGAGUAUGUGGUGUUUUUGAACUUGAGUUUGUUUUUUUUUUAACUUGAGUUUUUGGUGUUUGUUGAACUUGAGUUUGUGGUGUUCUUGAACUUGAGGGUGUGAAAUAUCUUAAAAUUGAGAAUUGGGUGUUGGUUGAACUUGAGUUUGUGUCGUGUUUGAACUUGAGUUCGUGUUGUUUGUUGAAUUUGAGUUUGUGUUUUUUGAACAUGAGGUUGUGAAAAUUUUUAAACCUGAGAAUCAGGUGUUGGUUGAACUUGAGUUUGAGGGUUUUUUUUAACUUGAGUUUGUGUUGUGUUUAAACUUGAGUAUGUGGUGUUUUUGAACCUGAGUUUGUGUGUUGGUUGAACUUGAGUUUAUGUUGUGUUUGAACUUGAGUUUGUGGUGUUUUUGAACUUGAGUUUGUUUUUUGUUUGAACUUGAGUUUUUGGCGUUUGUUGAACUUGAAUUUGUGUUGUGUUUGAACUUGAGUUAGUGGUGUUUUUGAACCUGAGUUUGUUUCGUGUUUGAACUUGAGUUCGUGGCGUUUGUUGAACUUGAGUUUGUGUCGUGUCUGAACUUGAGUUUGUGUUGUGUUUGAACUUGAGUUUGUGUUGUUUGUUGAACUUGAGUUUGUGUGUUUUUUGAACUUGAGGUUGUGUCGUGUUUGAACUUGAGUGUGUGGUGUUUUUGAACUUGAGUCGGUGUGGUUUUUGAACUUGAGGUUGUGGAAAUUUUUAAACUUCAGAAUUGGGUAUUGGUUAAACUUGAGUUUUUGGUGUUUUUGAACUUGAGUUUGUGUCGUGUUUGAACUUGAGUUAUUGGUGUUUGGUGAACUUCAGUUUGCGUGUUGGGUGAACUUGAAUUUGUGUGUUUUUGAACUUGAGUUUGUGUGUUGGUUGAACUUGAGUUUAUGUUGUGUUUGCACUUGAGUCCGUGUUCUUUGUUGAACUUGAGUUUGUGUGUUUUUUAACACAAGGUUGUGAAAAUUUUUAAACUUGUGAAUCAGGUGUUGGUUGAACUUGAGUUUGUGUGUUUUUUGAACUUGAGGUUGUGUCGUGUUUGAAAUUGAGUAUGUGGUGUUUUUGAACUUGAGUUUGUUUUUUUUUAACUUGAGUUUUUGGUGUUUGUUGAACUUGAGUUUGUGGUGUUCUUGAACUUGAGGGUGUGAAAUAUCUUAAAAUUGAGUAUUGGGUGUUGGUUGAACUUGAGUUUGUGGUGUUUGGUGAAAUUGAGUUUGAGUGUUUGGUGAACUUGAAUUUGUGUGUUUUUUGAACUUGAGUUUCUGUUGUUUUUGAACUUGGGGUUGUGGAUAUUGUUAAACUUGAGAAUCAGGUGUUGGUUGAACUUGAGUUUGUGUGUUUUUUGAACUUGACUGUGUCGUGUUUGAACCUGAGUUUGUGGUGUUUGUUGAACUUGAGUUUGUGUCGUGUUUUAACUUGAGUUUGUGGUGUUUUUGAACUUGAGGAUGUGAAAUAUCUUAAAAUUGAGAAUUGGGUGUUGGUUGAACUUGAGUUUUGUGUCGUGUUUGAACUUAAGGUUGUGUCGUGUUUGAACUUGAGUGUGUGGUGUUUUUGAACUUGAGUCGGUGUGGUUUUUGAACUUGAGGUUGUGGAAAUUUUUAAACUUGAGAAUUGGGUAUUGGUUGAACUUGAGUUUUUGGUGUUUUUGAACUUGAGUUUGUGUCGUGUUUGAACUUGAGUUAUUGGUGUUUGGUGAACUUGAGUUUGUGUUGUUUGUUGAACCUGAGUUUUCUGCAUUUGUUGAACUUGAGUUUGUGUCCUGUUUGAACUUGAGUUUGUGUUGUGUUUGAACUUGAGUUAGUGGUGUUUUUGAACCUGAGUUUGUUUCGUGUUUGAACUUGAGUUUGUGGCGUUUGUUGAACUUGAAUUUGUGUGUUUUUUAACUUGAGUUUGUGUGUUGGUUGAACUUGAGUUUAUGUUGUGUUUGAACUUGAGUUUGUGGUGUUUUUGAACUUGAGUUUGUGUUGUUUGUUGAACCUGAGUUUUCUGCAUUUGUUGAACUUGAGUUUGUGUCCUGUUUGAACUUGAGUUUGUGUUGUGUUUGAACUUGAGUUAGUGGUGUUUUUGAACCUGAGUUUUUUUCGUGUUUGAACUUGAGUUUGUGGCGUUUGUUGAACUUGAGUUUGUGUCGUGUUUGAACAUGAGUUUGUGGUGUUUUUGAACUCGAAUUUGUGGUGUUUUUGAACUUGAGGGUUUGGAAUAUGUUAAAAUUGAGAAUUGGGUGUUGGUUGAACUUGAUAUUGUGUCGUGUUUGAACUUGAGUUUGUGUUGUUUGUUGAACUUGAGUUUGUGUGUUUUUUGAACUUGAGGUUGUGUCGUGUUUGAACUUGAGUAUGUGGUGUUUUUGAACUUGAGUCGGUGUUGUUUUUGAACUUGAGGUUGUGGAAAUUUUUAAACUUGAGAAUUGGGUAUUGGUUGAACUUGAGUUUUUGGUGUUUUUGAAUAUGAGUUUGUGUCCUGUUUGAACUUGAGUUUGUGGUGUUUUUGAACUUGAAUUUGUGUGUUUGGUAAACUUGAAUUCGUGUGUUGUUUGAACUUGAAUUUCUGUUGGUUUGAACCUGGGGUUGUGGAAUUGUUAAACUUGAGAAUCAGGUGUUGGUUGAACUUGAGUUUGUGUGUUUGUUGAACUUGAGUUUGUGUUUGUUGAACUUGAGUUUGUGUUGUGUUUGAACUUGAGUUUUUGUUGUUUUUGAACUUGAGUUUGUGUCGUGUUUUCUUGCGUGUUGCUCAAUGGCUGAAACGCAUCGCUCUCCCGGCAACGCCGUAAGGAGGAGCAACUUGCCAUUUGGAUAUAUCCUAGCUGUGUUUGUGCCCUCACUCAUUGUCCAGAGUUUUUUUUUAAAUAGGACAUGUAGUUUGUCUGCAGCGAGCGUUUUGGUAGAAACUGCGCCUCCCAUUCAUUAUAAUGGGAAAUGACCAAAGACAGGUGCGCACACCAUCUUUGGACCUUGACUGUGACGUCACAGUUUGAGAUACAAAUGUUAUUUGACCUCUGACCUUUUGUGGAGACCCUAACCUUUUCAACCCGUGAAAACGGCGUUUCAAUAGCUCUUACGGCUUUCCUACAAAUACACUUUGUUGGGCUGCUCCUACUGUCUUUCAAGCUCUGCUUCACAGAUCAUCAAAGAGUGUGCACGUUUGUAAUGAGCGCAUAUUGAAUGUUAAUUAUGUUAACUAUGUUAAUUAUUAGAAGAAAUAACAACAACAGUCUUUUUGGACAAAAUUUCUUUUUAUUAAAGAAUUAGAAUAAUGGAAGCAUAGUCCAAUGAAACCAUUCAAGUGAUGUCAAACCUCAUAAUUUAUUAAAAUGUAGGCAAGUCUGGGCAUUUCUUCAUUCAUCAGGUUUCCUGCAUGCAUACUAACAGAGCACAUCAGUAACAGUGAAUGAUAAGUAUGAGUAUGUCAUUGUGUAAGAAAAGAAAGUGGUUAACUUACACAUCCAUAGAAAAUAGGUGGUUGAGCACAGCACGCAAACAAAGCUUUGCCACGACGGUGGAACUUCCCAAGUAGCCGAUACCAAGAUCACACAAUCAGGGUAAGCAAAGGUCAAACCAGGCCAGGCACUCAUGAGGCUGGCUGUGGCAAGUGUAAGUGAAAGCGACACACACUGGCAGGAAGAACAGCAAACGCUGAUGAAGGAAAAGGAUCUUUGCAGUGAUGGCCGUUACCAGAGGACAGAGGACGCGUCAGAGGACGCGAAUGGGAUGGGGAGGGGAGGCGAUUGCGUUGGGGGGGCGCGCGACACGGCUCGGGCCCGACAGUGCCCCAACGGGGCCCUAGUAUUAUUAUUAUUAUUAUUAUUAUUAUUAUUAUAUAUUAUUGUUGUUAUAAAUAUUAUAAAUAUUUGUUGUUAUAAAAAGUUUUCUCAACUUUGCCUUGCUUCAUUCUUUAACAUGCAGUCAUGAAGUAACAUAACUAGGUUGCAGUGCUUCAAUGUAUAAACUUAACUUUACCCUUGUGCACCCCUUAAAAUUUAAUGACACUUGUUACCCUCGUGUGGGCUAACAAAUUAAUAAUAAUAAUAAUAAUAAUAAUGAUAAUGAUCUUGUUAUAUGAUAUAGCAUGUUUUUGCAGGUGCGUAAAAACUGACCGUGUGUGUGUGUGUAUCUUGCAGUACUCUGAGGAGAAUGAGAAGCAGGACACAGACACAGCUAUGGAGACAUUCUUGUACUUUUAUGUAGGACUUUUGCUCAAUAGUUGUUUGUGGCGGCUUUGAGACGUCCCAGCCCUGCCUGAGGUUCCUCACCACCCGUGAUGGCACCCAACCUCAUGGCAGCUUCAGGCUGAGACCUACGCAGGAAGUUAUGAAGGACACAGGUGGCCUUCACACACUUCUCUGCAACGUCCGGAGAAACCCCAAGGGCACGUCGGUACAUCCUCCACUGAGUGGAAAGAAUGCCAUAGGCAUUUUCAACCACCAGCCGCGCCCUGGACAGCCGGUAGUUGAAAAUGCGCUUCUCUCUGGGGAGGAUGCACCCUGGAUACGGCCUCAUGAGGUUCCUCCGGAGAGGGAAGGCCUCAUCUGCGACAAACACAUAAGGUUGGAGUCCCCUGUGCUCAGCUUCAGGCAGUGAUCGAUCCGGAGGCAGUUGGAGGGAGCAAGAACAGAGGGCCUGACCAAACGCAGAGUUGGCCAGAAUCCACCCGUCACUGGUCCUCCCGAAGCCUCUGACAUCGAUCACUCGGAAGCAAUAAUUGGCAUCUACAACUGCCAAGAGAACAAUAGAAAAUGUUCCCUUAUAGUUAUAAAACUGUGAUCCUGAAUUGGCAGGAGCCUUCAGAAACACGUGCUUCCCAUCCACAGCACCACAACACAAGGGGAAGUUCCACCGCUCCUAAAACCCUGUGCUAUGGAUAUCCACUCAUCACAGGUGGGCACAGCCAUGAAGUCCUCCACCAAGCACUCCCAGAUGCAGGACACAGUGUCUGCCACGAUGCCUGACACGGUGGAAACUCCAACUCGAAAACUGUAGGCAAUGGUCCUGAAGGAGUCUCCAGUAGCCAGGAACCUAAAGCACAUAAAAAUAAAUUUCAUUGCUAUUUUUAUUCAAAAUAUGAGGCCAUAUGAAAUACAAACAUAACCGAAGACUUGAGUGUCCAUAAAUCCUCUUUGACACGGACAUUUAUGCUAGCACCCAGUGUAUAGUGUCUAGUAUCUGAAGUAGUAUCUGAAGUAGCAUGCUACUCGCUCUGGUGGCCAAUUCUGACAUGCUACAUACUACUUCGACUACUACUUGGCAAUUUGGACGCAGCACCGGUGUGAAUGAACCAGGGCGCGACGCAACGCUACGUGAGCGACCUACACGACUAGGUCACUUCAAGUCGCAUUUGGUCUGAACCAUAGGCUGUAUAUAGAAUGGACAGAGUCUGCCUCCUCGCUGGGUCAGAAAUUUGUUACACAGAGCAUACAUUUUUCUCCCCCCUGGUUGUGAUGUUGACAUGUAGUUACAAUAAGACUAGUUUGUGCUCAAAUCCUCUUUUUUCUGUGAAGCUCCAUUUUUAAAAGUUAUUAGGGGGUUCAUGUUUUCUAUGACUGACACCUGAUACAGCCUAUUGGCGUUCAGGGAUUGCGUAGCUCUCCCAGGAGGGAUACGCUGUUUGAGCCAAGCAUCAUCACAGUGACUCUUGGCGACUGCGCGGCCGAAUGCGCGCAUCGCUACUGGUUUCAGGAAAUUAAGAAAAAUCCCGGGAAUAUUGAGAGCUUUUUGGGUUCAAAUCCGUAUACAGGUGGUAGGUGGAACCAAGUUGUCCAUAGUAUAUACAGUCUAUGGUCUGAACGCGGCUUUAGACAAUCAGUCAUUUUGUGUGUGACAGAAGUGACAGGAAAUCAACAAUGUGUCUACAGCCCUCUGGGAAAACAGGAGGAUGUGAGAGAAGGAGAGGGCAAGCUCAGAGGAAGAGGAGAUGGACAAAGAGCGUGAGAAAGAGUGAUGUCAUUGGUUCUGCUGGGAACGAAGUAGAGGAAUCAAGAAAACAGAGAAGAUCGGAGGGAAAAAUCUCCAUGGACAAGGUUAAUGGGCUGCUUCAGUUUUUAGUUUUUCAAUUUUGAAUGAAAAAAAGUUAUCAGCUGGUCUCUGCUAAAAUCCUGAUAAAUACCAACUCUCAUGUGCCGAGCAGCUCUGCUGACUGGUCACUGAUUGGUCUAAUCUUAUGACAUCAUGAGAGAGGCAUGUGGGUCAGUGAAUAUUCACACUCAUUAGCAGGACGCUCCAGUUUAUGGUUUAUCUGGAAGUUUCUAUUGUCACUCUGAGAGACCAUGAAUGUGUGUGUUCAUGUGAGUGUGAAUGAUUUCCCUGCUCGCUCUGUGUGUUUGUAUUAAAAUGAGAUCAUUCACACAGUGAAGUGAGGUGACAGAGGUGGCUAAAUAUACAUCAGUCAUCACAGACAAGAGAUAACAGCGUACAGAGACCCUGAAUGCAGGGGGAGACUGCAGGCUGCAUAUUGUGCAGGGAAGUGUGAGACCACUCUGGCCCCUGAGCACAUAGUUUUGAAAGUGCACGCUGCAGAUUUUCUGUGCAACACCUUAUGGACCCAUGCCUUUUAGCCUCCUCUUCUUCUCUUAUGGAAACGGGAGAGCAGAGGGAGGCAGAGCAUACUAACUUGGCUCUGCAGUGUCUCUUUUUUUUGCUAGUUGCAUGUGAUGAAUGCGAGAAACUAGCAUGAGGUGGGAUGGUUGUGGGAUGCCAGACUUAACCUGCCUUUCUGAGGUGUUUUGGGGUUGUCAAGGGAGGUGCCCACUUGAUAAUCCUGUUGACGGGUCUGAUCUUUCUGUCCAUCUACAUCAGGUGUGGAGCCCUGCCAUAAUGGGUCAAGUACCACCUAUCAGCAUAUUUACAUGAUUUCAAAGAAUUAUUAUUAUUGCAUAUGUCAAAACUAGCAAAAGUAUUCUACA